CAGGAGUGUGAGACUGCGACAGCUAUUCCCUGGUGUGAUGUCAUUGUCGGCUAUCACAGUGGCAGAAUCAGCCCGCUCGGUGAAGACAAAAAGUGUCCCUCUUCCUCUUGCUCUUUCAGCUGCCACAGGCAUUCAAAGUGACCUUGCCGUGUAAAUACUGAGUCAAUGGCAAUGAUUAUUUAUCUGGCAAUAGAAAACACAGCAAUAAGUAUGCUUCAAAGCAGGUGGCAAAAUAGGGAGGUGUGGCUUCACUUAUUUUGGAG